rnacentral:rRNA from 1 species
AUACGGAGGGUGCAAGCGUUAAUCGGAAUUACUGGGCGUAAAGCGCGCGUAGGUGGCUGAUUAAGUCGGAUGUGAAAUCCCUGGGCUCAACCUAGGAACUGCAUCCGAUACUGGUCAGCUAGAGUUUUGGAGAGGUAAGUGGAAUUUCCGGUGUAGCGGUGAAAUGCAUAGAGAUCGGAAGGAACACCAGUGGCGAAGGCGACUUACUGGCCAAAAACUGACGCUGAGGUGCGAAAGCGUGGGUAGCGAACAGGAUUAGAAACCCUAGUAGUCC